CAAGUAGAACGCUGACUACUUUAGCUUGCUAGAGUAGAAGGAGUUGCGAACGGGUGAGUAACGCGUAGGUAACCUGCCUACUAGCGGGGGAUAACUAUUGGAAACGAUAGCUAAUACCGCAUAACAGUGUUUAACACAUGUUAGAUGCUUGAAAGAUGCAAAUGCAUCACUAGUAGAUGGACCUGCGUUGUAUUAGCUAGUUGGUGGGGUAACGGCCUACCAAGGCGACGAUACAUAGCCGACCUGAGAGGGUGAUCGGCCACACUGGGACUGAGACACGGCCCAGACUCCUACGGGAGGCAGCAGUAGGGAAUCUUCGGCAAUGGGGGCAACCCUGACCGAGCAACGCCGCGUGAGUGAAGAAGGUUUUCGGAUCGUAAAGCUCUGUUGUAAGAGAAGAACGUGUGUGAGAGUGGAAAGUUCACACAGUGACGGUAACUUACC
rnacentral:rRNA from 1 species